rnacentral:rRNA from 1 species
CCUUGUACACACCGCCCGUCACACCAUGGGAGUUGGUUCGACCCGAAGACGGUGCGCCAACCGCAAGGGGGGCGCUUGCCACGGUGUGGCCGAUGACUGGGGUG